rnacentral:rRNA from 1 species
UACGUAGGGGGCGAGCGUUGUCCGGAUUUAUUGGGCGUAAAGAGCUCGUAGGCGGUUUGGUAAGUUGGAUGUGAAAUCUCCAGGCUCAACUUGGAGGGGUCAUUCGAUACUGCCAUGACUAGAGUUCGGUAGGGGAGUGUGGAAUUCCUGGUGGAGCGGUGAAAUGCGCAGAUAUCAGGAGGAACACCUGUGGCGAAGGCGGCUUUCUGGGCCUUACCUGACGCUGAGACGCGAAAGCGUGGGGAGCGAACCGG